rnacentral:misc_RNA from 1 species
CCGAGUUUUUACGCUCAAACCCACGUGGACCCGAACUGUUGCUUCGGCGGGCGGCCUCCGGCUCGUCUGGGGUGCUGCCCGCCAAAGGUUUUGCCUAUAGGCUCUGAUAGUGGCUCUGCCGUAUACUGUCCUCUGAAUUAUCUUCCAGAAAAAUCA